UACAGAGGUCUCAAGCGUUGUCCGGAAUCAUUGGGCGUAAAGAGCGUGUAGGCGGCUCGAUAAGUCUGCUGUGAAAGUCCAGGGCUCAACCCUGGAAGGCCGGUGGAAACUGUCGGGCUAGAGUCCGGAAGAGGCGAGUGGAAUUCCCGGUGUAGCGGUGAAAUGCGCAGAUAUCGGGAGGAACACCAAUGGUGAAGGCAGCUCGCUGGGACGGUACUGACGCUGAGACGCGAAAGCGUGGGGAGCAAACAGG
rnacentral:rRNA from 1 species